GAGCGUGCCGUGCCAUGCCGCUAGGCACGGCAGCACGCCAGCACGAGCACGAGCACGAGCACCCCGGCACGAGCACGAGAACGACACGGCCGCGUAACAGGAAGAAAUGGACGGAGGAGAUCGCUUGGGGAAGGGAUCCAACGGCUCUCGUGCCUGGAGCGGGCUGAUGGAGCAGGCCGAGGCCGUGCCGGCCGCUGGAGCGGGCCGUGCCCGUGCCGUGCUGUUGUGUGCGGCUUCCAGCACGGGCACGGGCACGGGGGCGUGCCGUGCCAACACGGACACGAGGCAGGCCGGGCUGGGCCGUUUUCGAACCGUGCUUUCUUGUACCGUGCUCGUGCCGGCCCGUUUAAAUCGGCCCGUUUGGCCAUCUAUAAGCUAGAGAGAUUGGUUGAGAUGUGCGUUGAAUCAUCGGUUCCAUUCCAUAUGUCUUUCAUUUUAUUGUAGCAUUAUUGGUCCAUCUGUAUUGCUAUUGAUUGAUUCAAUUUCCAAAAAACAUUGCACGAAACAACUGAGAUAUAUUUGUACCCAUUUAUACCAUAUUUAUUUACUUUUCAAAUGUUAACUUAAUUUCUUGGUGAAAGGAAAAUUAAAGUAUGUAAAUGCACAUGGCCCAUAGAUGAAGAUGAAAGAGGAUUUUUGUCCUAAAUUGAAUUUGGGCAUGGGCACGUGGAUGCUUAUUUUUGUCUCAUGAAUGCCACUUAUAGAAUUACACCUACCGCUGUGUACCUGUGAUGAUAUAUGGCUCAUGAAGAUCAUC
rnacentral:lncRNA from 1 species